rnacentral:rRNA from 1 species
UAAUUGAAGAGUUUGAUCAUGGCUCAGAUUGAACGCUGGCGGCAGGCCUAACACAUGCAAGUCGAGCGGUAACAGGGGAAGCUUGCUUCCCGCUGACGAGCGGCGGACGGGUGAGUAAUGUAUGGGGAUCUGCCCGAUAGAGGGGGAUAACCACUGGAAACGGUGGCUAAUACCGCAUAAUCUCUUAGGAGCAAAGCAGGGGAACUUCGGUCCUUGCGCUAUCGGAUGAACCCAUAUGGGAUUAGCUAGUAGGUGGGGUAAUGGCUCACCUAGGCGACGAUCCCUAGCUGGUCUGAGAGGAUGAUCAGCCACACUGGGACUGAGACACGGCCCAGACUCCUACGGGAGGCAGCAGUGGGGAAUAUUGCACAAUGGGCGCAAGCCUGAUGCAGCCAUGCCGCGUGUAUGAAGAAGGCCCUAGGGUUGUAAAGUACUUUCAGUCGGGAGGAAGGCGUUGAUGCUAAUAUCAUCAACGAUUGACGUUACCGACAGAAGAAGCACCGGCUAACUCCGUGCCAGCAGCCGCGGUAAUACGGAGGGUGCAA